UGGGUGAUAUCCAACAUAAGUCAUACUCAGAGUAGACCAAUUGAAAUCGUAGAUUUCACAGAGUCUACUCUGAGUAUGACAGAUAUUGGCUAUCGCCCU